rnacentral:rRNA from 2 species
UGACCUCGGAUCAGGA